rnacentral:lncRNA from 1 species
UUUUAUUCUUUCGCCGUGGGCUGCAGGGCGAACCGCGUCAGGUGGCCGGCGUGUGCGUGCGUGCGCGUGUCAAAAAGAAAAGACAAGGCAGGGAAAGAGAGAGAGGGCUACGGCAGCGGCAGCAGCAGCAGCGACCUAGUGGUGAUAGGCCUUGCGCUUGGCAUCGCUCCAAAAGGUGUCGGACCAGUCCUUGUGCUUCUUGUUCUUCUUGUCGGCAUACUUGUGAUGCUUCUUCUUGUAGUCCUGGUCGUCGUCCUCGUCGUCGUCCUCCUCCUCGUCGUCCUGGUCCUUCUUCUUCUUGUAGUCCUCGUCGUCGUCGUCGUCGUCGUCGUCUUCCGCCUGGUACUUGUGAUGCUUCUUCUUCUUGUCGUCCUUCUUCUUCUUGUGAUCCUCGUCGUCGGUGUCGUCCUUGUCGAGGGCCUUGUGGACGGCCUUGUAGACCAACUU